UACGUAGGGUGCGAGCGUUAAUCGGAAUUACUGGGCGUAAAGCGUGCGCAGGCGGUUCUCCAAGUCCGUUGUGAAAGCCCCGGGCUCAACCUGGGAAUGGCAGUGGAAACUAGGGGACUGGAAUCUGGCAGAGGAGGGUGGAAUGCCGCGUGUAGCAGUGAAAUGCGUAGAGAUGCGGCGGAGCACCGAUGGCGAAGGCAGCCCCCUGGGCUGAGAUUGACGCUCAGGCACGAAAGCGUGGGGAGCAAACAGG
rnacentral:rRNA from 1 species